GUUUUUGAGCACUAUCUGGGAGAUGA
rnacentral:piRNA from 1 species